CCGGGGUGGAGGGGAAGUCAGAGAUGAGAAACGUGCUUUUGGAGAUAGCUUGGAGACACCUGGCCAGGAAUGUGGAUGGCCUCUGAAGCUGAGAACAGCCUCAGCUGAGAGGCAGCAAGCAAAGAGGGACCUCAGCCCUCCAACCACAAGAAAAUGAAUCCAGCCAGCAACCUGAAUGAGCUGGGAGCCGACACAUCCCAGAGCCUCCAGAAAGGAGCGCAGCCCCUGGACAUCUCUACUGCAGCCUGUGAGACUCUCCGCGGAGGACGCGGCUGAGCCAUGCUGACGUGCAGAACUUCCAGCUAUGGAAUUUGUGUUUAGGCUGUUCGGUUUGUGGUCAUUUGUUACAGAGCAAUAGAAAAAUAAUACAGUGAGUAUGUCUCAAAUAUCGCACAGGACAUGGACUGAAAAAGCAUCAGUCAAAUUUAACUGGGUCUUCUGUCAUUUUGUCUGCUAAAUCUGGCAACUUAAAUCCCAGGAAGGGGCCCAUGGACUUCGGACUGCAUCCAUGGCACAAAAAGAUGAAGAACCGGGCUAGAGGCCAGGCCCAGUGGCUCAUGCCUAUAAUCCCAGCACUUUGGGAGGCCAAGACAAGUAAAUCUCCUGAGGUUAGGAGUUUGAAACCAGCCUGGCCAACAUGCUGAAAAUACAAAAUUACAAAAAAUACCCUGUCUCUACUGAAAAAACAAAAAUUAGCUGAAUGUAGUGGCAGGUGCCUGUAAUCCCAGCUACACAAGAGGCUGAGGCAGG
rnacentral:lncRNA from 10 species